rnacentral:lncRNA from 1 species
GGGGUACUAUGGAAACCUAACAUUGUAAAUGCUUCCUGAAAAAUAUACAUAUAUGAAGAGGAUCUAAAUGAAAUUGAUAAGUAAUGGGUGAAAAAGUGCCCCAGCUGGACAUCUCUUGUCACUAAAUGAAGCUUUCAGUACCAGUAAUGGGUUACAUCUAAUUGAGUUGUGGGCCAAAGGGCUCCCAUGGGUAUCUCCAAACAACCCCGGGCUGUUGCCAAGACUACAGGUAGUUCUGACAAACUGAUGGCUACUCCAUAUUGCUAAAGCCAAUACCUACACAACUCAUUGAACAUGGAGGUAUUGUCUUUAGCAAUUAGGGCCUUCAUCCCUACAUGCAUCUUUGGUACAGGAAGCUACUCUGUUAGCUACCAAAGGAGAAACAUAUACACCAACCCAGCUACAAAUUUUUGUAUCUACAAUGGUGACCUGCCUGAUAUAUAUGCUAGUGCAGAGGUGGUACAGACCACUAUCGGUUUAGUAGUAAACCAAUAUCUUACACUUGACUUAAAACCCACUCCCUGAGAUGGAAGCCAUAUCCAACACUGUUUGGAUGACCAAGAAACUAAGUAUAUUUAGCCAAAGGACAGAGGGUAUCCAAAUACUAUUGUUAAAAAAACAAUACAAAACAUCAUCCCCCAAAAUAAAGCAAUAAGAUGACUCUUGAUGACAUUCUGCUAUUAUUAUAGAUCAGUGACUUGCUCAGCCAUCAUCAAAGAAGCUUCCUGGUACAUCAGAUGGUAAAAAUACAGAGGCCCACAGCCAGGCAAUAUCCAUAGUGAGAGACCUUGGAAGGCUCAGUUCUUAAAUGGAAUGUCUCUAUCAAAUCCCUCUCCUCAGGGCUCAGGAAAUUCUUCUGAAGAGGAUGCAGAGAGAGCCUUAGUCCCAGAGGGUAUGGAGGACACUAAAGAAACAAGACCCUUUAAGCACAGCAGGCCCAAGGUGCAUAGGAAUCCACGGAGACAGAGGCAGCACAGGCAGCAUAAAGCACUGCUAGAAGGAUAAGCGAUGAAGAUAAAGCAAGAGCUGCUUUUGGGCACACCAUGCUCAUUAUGGACCGAUGGAGAUCCGUUUCUUAUAUACUUGAAGUGGGUGGAGAACAGAAUUGGGAAGGAUCUUGCUGAUGGAAACUCACUACCAGCAGAUAACACGUGCUUAUGGCCUUCCCACCCCUAGCACAUGCAUUAAGUGUUCUGAAACAUUUCCACCCGUCUACUGGCUGAAAAUGAUGUACAAUUUUUGUAUUGAGUUCAAUGUCAUUGGUCAUCAAUGGGGUGGAAUGCAUUUCAUCACUUGCCAUCUGAUUGUCUUAUUACAGAAAUUCCCUCUAAUCAUGUUUCUACUGGAA